UUUCUGAGGUCAUCUUACUUAUCUGUGGCUUGAGUAAAUUGUGUUCUGACCACCGCAGGGGCAGUGUGUGUCUAGUAAAAGGGCUUGUUGUUCUCUCAGCCCUAUACUGGGCCCUCACACACACACACACACACACACACACACACACACACACACACACACACACACACACACACACACACACACACACACACACACACACACACACACACACACACACACACACACACACACACACACACACACACACACACACACACACACACAGAGGGACAGUCAGAUGGGCCGUGGCCCGAGACUCUUUGGCCUGUGGCUAUAGACCGCGUGGCAAUCGCCUCCCAUGGACCCCUUUAUAGGAGAGAAGUGCAAACAGAAUUGACCUGAAGAUGUUAUUUUCAGAGGUCUGUUGACAGAGCUGAACUAUCUAUCUGUUGCUUCUUUAUUCAGUCUCCGCAGGAGGCUCCAUAAGCAGGUUGUCUGUAGCCUGGCAACAGGUUAGACACAAUUCAACUUGUUCACUGUAUACUUGGAAUUAAUUUACAGCAUAAUAUGGCUAUAUACUAACUAGAUUUAUAUUUUUAAGAGGCUAUUGUAUUAUUGUAAACAAUCCUCCUCAAAGCAAUGUUGUGUCUGAACAACAAAUUGUGUUGUUGUGUAAUGUUUUUUGACGAUGUCCAUGAGAAGGCAGUAAACAGGAAAAUGUGGUGCACAAGUGCUGUUCUGUCUAUUCCAAAUGUUAUGGUCAUUUGUCAAAUGUUGAGUAUUGAGAGGGCUGUUUUGGAGAAAAAAAAUGUUGGCCUCGGGGUGGUAACUGUUGGUUAUCUAGAUGCACACUGCACAGGCAAUAGCCUUAUUCAUUUGUGUUUUUUAGUCAGGCAGCACUGCAGACAACCAUAGCUCUGACGGUCCUCCUCCUUCUUGUCCAUUAAUAAUGCAGAGUGUGGUUUUGAGAGAUGAUGAAACAGUAAACAAGAUCGUUGUCCAUCCAGAGGGGUAUCCUAUGAAGCAUGCUAGAUCUACUCAGGAUUUUCUAAAGCUAAUCAGCUUCACAUCCCAGCUCAGUUUUCAUCCGGACCCAUUCACCUGCAGCUAACUCUAGCCGGCUUGUAACUGCGCGUGCACGUUGAGAAUGCGCGUGCAUAGGAGAAUAUCAGACAUUAAAACAAAUACCAAAGGCAACAAAAUAACUAUGACAUACUGUAUGAGUCAGUGAUGGGACCAAAUGUACUUUUCCAUGCCUACUUUGGGCCUUUGAAUCCUCUGGUCACCGUGUUAAAGAAACAGCAUGUUGUAAUUCCUUAAGCUAACACCCAGGAACCUGUGUAGUGUCCUCCAUGGAUUUAAUGGUUACAACAGCAACUCAAUUUUGUUGUCAAAUAAAGGAAGGUUGGGGAAAAAAGGCAUGGCCUUCUAUCAGGAAAGAGGACACAUGCUAUUAUUAACAGUAGUAGAGCCAUGACAGUGAACAGAGCCAGACCUGUGUAGGGGCCUUUUACCCCCCCCAACCAGCCACCAUCUUCUGAAAAGUGCACAGCGCGAACAGAGGUGGGGUUGAUGCAGGGACCUGCUUCCACCACGACUAACCACUACAUGUCCAGGGCCAUUACUUAUUUAUAAGACAUGCCUGGUAAGUGCCAUAGUGGCCUUGCGAUUUUUCCUCAGUGCCAUAAGGGCACUUUCAUACACCCUGUUUACAUUUCAACCACUGGGAGAGGAGAGCGAUAACAACAACAAAAAACACCCAAUUAGUUACAGUGUCCAGAGCAAGGGCCGAAACCUGGGCCGACGAGAUGACUCCGAUAAAUAUUUGGAUGUGUUAUAGGACUCUACCCUGUGCUGGUCAAGAUCAGGCUUAUAGGAAGUGAUGAAUGAACUGCUUUCCCAUAGGUUCAGUUUCCCUCUGAAGUCAUUUCGGGAGUAAAAAAAAAAAAAAGCUUAGUUUUACCAUCAUUGCUAAAUUUACGUUGGAAUCAAAACGAUGAAGUGAUUAAUGAAAAGGUUCUAUUUUCUGAGAAAGACCCUGCCUGCGUUCCUGUCACGCCCUGGUCGAAGUAUUUUGUGUUUAUCUUCAUGUAUUGGGUCAGGCCAGGGUGUGGCAUGGGUUUUUGUAUGUGGUGUGUAAAUAUUGGGAUUGUAGCUAGUGGGGUGUUCUAGCAAAGUCUAUGGCUGUCUGGAGUGGUUCUGAAUCAGAGGCAGGUGUUUAUCGUUGUCUCUGAUUGGGAACCAUAUUUAGGCAGCCAUAUUCUUUGAGUUUGUCGUGGGUGAUUGUCCUUAGUGUCCUUGUUCCUGGCUAUGUGUUAGUUUACACAAGUAUAGGCUGUUUUUGUAGUGUUUGUGUAUUUAGAUUCGUGUUACGUUUGUUUAUUAAAACAUGGAUCGCAAUCUACCCGCUGCAUUCUGAAAUAUGCAAGAGACUUCAAUGGUAUGCUCAUAAGAGAUGUGCCAGGUACAGAAAUUAUGUGACGGACAGGGGUGGGCUGCAUUGGACGUGUGCCACCGGCAUCUUUGCCUGGGCCAUCUGCUUGGCGAACCCUUGGAAGGAUCGCCACGCAUCUGCCAACAUUGCCGGGGGUGUCAUGGGGCCGUCAGGCGUGAUUGAUCUGGUCCAUUUAGUCGGAGCAGCCAACAUAAACACCAGGCAGGCCACUACUCAGCCUGGCCAACUGGCCCACACACAGGCCCAGGCUCUAUCUCUGCCCACUGAUCAGUCAACAUGCCAUCGCAUGGCUGGUCCUCUGUCACUGCUCACUCCUCACUUGUCUCAUUGUCAGGUUAUUGCUUGACUAUAACCAAUUUUUCAGUUGAAAAUGUUGUUCUAAUUCAACUAUACUUUGAAAUAUGAUAUAUUCAUUUGAAUAUGAUAAAAUAAUCUCCAGUUAUCAGCCCAAACAGUAAUUGUUCUAAUAUUUUUCAUAAUUCAUGUUCAGUUUGAUGUGAUACGAGCCCUUAUAUGUAUUGGAUUAUUCCAUAUGUGUUUUGCUCAUCAUGGCCCAUUCACCAGUGGAAACAUCAGAAGCAAGGUCAAACAAUACUAUAAAUGAAUACUGGUCAGAGAAGAGUAGUGGCUUUUUAUCUGACCUAUAAAACGGGGAUAAUUCACAGCACAGAUAUAGAAUGUAAUUCAUCCAGUCCUCCAGUCUCUUUUUAAAUGUUUUUAUUAGUCACAGUUUAAAUGAUACUUAGAGGAAAUAAAAAAAGAGCCAUCAUCCCUACUGGUUGCUAGAGUUUGAUUUUAUAUCCUAUUAUUGUCACCUAUUUCCCAUCUUAUGCAUAUUCCAUCCUCUUUAUUGUUUGGUCUGUAUUCUGGUGCAACUCAUCCCAGGGCCGAGAUUGCAUUGGUGUUUGGUUCCCUGAACAGAGAGAUCAUGGCUACAGCCCUUCAUCCAGUGGCUAUUUGUGCUCUGUGUGUAUUGCAUUACUUUGAAAUUCAGCUCGGCCAAAACUCUGACUUCUCAAUGCUCCCUUUUAACAAGACCUGUGUUAGUCUUUGGGAUUUGCCCACCGCCAGGCUAUAAGGUUUUCCUUUACUGCUCAACCACAUCACAUAGACUUUUUUCCUCUUAGACGUCUGACUGCCGAAGAGAAAUCGAUUCUCGAGCUGCUCCAUUUCACUACAUAAAUAUAAAUAAUUGUUUAACCGUUAAAAGUCAUGUAAGGUUUACUUGAUUUGUUGAUAUAGAUGUGACAUUUAGCUGAAAGAGACGCUAGGUUUUAAUUGAAAAAUGAGAAAUGGACUUGGGUGUGUCCAUGCAGACUAAGUGGAGACUAAAGAACUCUGGGAAAUUGUUAAGAGCAGGGAAACUUGGAUGUCCUCUCAGUUAAAUAUUUUAAAAGAGGAGAAUUUAAAGCUUGUUCUCUCAAUACGUAUCUCUCACUCUCUCUUGCUCUCUCUCUCUAUUUUUCUCAAUCUCUCCCUGUCUUUCUCAAGCUUUUACAAAGUGCCUUUGCUGAAAGAGGCAGAAUGGAAAGGUUAGGUAUGUGUGUAUGAGUGUGUGUAUUUUCAUGUUAUGAAAUAUCUCUUCAAUACUUUCACAAAGUGUCUCUAUGUGGUGGAUGUGGGUAUAUCCAGUGAUUAAAUGAGGACACGUAGUGGCACAGUGGUCUAAGGCACUGCAUCGCAGUGCUAGCUGAGACCCAUGGGGCGGCACACAAUUGGCCCAGCGUCAUCCGGGUUAGGGGAGGGUUUGACUGUCAGGGAUGUUCCUAUCCAAUCGCGCACUAGCGACUUAUGCGGCGGUCGCCAGGUGUAUGGUGUUUUCUCCGGCACAUUGGUGCAGCUGGCUUCCGGGUUAAGCAGGCGUUGUGUCAAGAAGCAGUGUGCCUUGGCUGGGUUGUAUUUCGGAGGACGCACGCUCUCGACAUUCGCCUCUCCCGAGUCCGUACGGGAGUUGCUGUACUGUAUGACCUUGAAUCUGAUGUUUCCACUGGCGAACCAAUUGGAUACCAUGAGAUUGAGGAGGAAAAGGGGCAAAACAAUUACAAUAAUUGAUGAGGACGCAUAAAGUACAUCAUAACAAACUCUUUGUAAUUAGGUUGAAUACGGUUAAACCUGUAACAGACACAAUGGACAUAAGGAAAUAAGUCAUCAUUAAUACAUACAGUAUAUUAGUUAAGAGCAUCUUCACUUCCUCUGUCAGCGCUUGAGGGCCACCAGGGGGCCAGCCAAGCUAUACCAUGGGAAAACUUGACUAAGGAGAAACUGGCCUGGCCAGGAAGUAUGUGGGAGCGUUGUGACAGUGUGGGGCUUUUCUCGAGUGAAAUAAAAGCCCAUGCAGCCCCAGAGAAAAGCCCACCGGUAAAGACUGAAAAGCCCACCGGUAAAGACUGAAAAGCCCACCGGUAAAGACUGAAAAGCCCACCGGUAAAGACUGAAAAGCCCACCGGUAAAGACUGAAAACCUCACCGGUAAAGACUGAAAAAGCCAGCGGUACAGACCAAAAAAAAACAUUGGUACAGACAGAAAAACCCACCGGUAUAAACAGAAAAACCCACCGGUACAGACAAAAAGCAUCCUGGACAUUUUUGUUGACGUAAUAAGGUACUAUUUUCUUCUUUGGCCACCUCCCUUUCUGUUUUUAUUUUGUGUCUGAUCAGU